AGUUUGACUGGGGCGGUCUCCUCCCAAAGAGUAACGGAGGAGCACGAAGGUGGGCUAAUCACGGUUGGACAUCGUGAGGUUAGUGCAAUGGCAUAAGCCCGCUUAACUGCGAGAAUGACGGUUCGAGCAGGUGCGAAAGCAGGUCAUAGUGAUCCGGUGGUUCUGUAUGGAAGGGCCAUCGCUCAACGGAUAAAAGGUACUCCGGGGAUAACAGGCUGAUACCGCCCAAGAGUUCAUAUCGACGGCGGUGUUUGGCACCUCGAUGUCGGCUCAUCACAUCCUGGGGCUGAAGUCGGUCCCAAGGGUAUGGCUGUUCGCCAUUUAAAGUGGUACGCGAGCUGGGUUUAGAACGUCGUGAGACAGUUCGGUCCCUAUCUGCCGUGGGCGUUGGAAGAUUGAAGGGGGCUGCUCCUAGUACGAGAGGACCGGAGUGGACGAACCUCUGGUGUUCGGGUUGUGUCGCCAGACGCAUUGCCCGGUAGCUAAGUUCGGAAUUGAUAAGCGCUGAAAGCAUCUAAGCGCGAAGCGAGCCCUGAGAUGAGUCUUCCCUGAUACUUUAAGU
rnacentral:rRNA from 1 species